CUACGAAGGGUGCGAGCGUUAAUCGGAAUUACUGGGCGUAAAGCGUGCGCAGGCGGUUUUGUAAGACAGUGGUGAAAUCCCCGGGCUCAACCUGGGAACUGCCAUUGUGACUGCAAGGCUGGAGUGCGGCAGAGGGGGAUGGAAUUCCGCGUGUAGCAGUGAAAAGCGUAGAUAUGCGGAGGAACACCGAUGGCGAAGGCAAUCCCCUGGGCCUGCACUGACGCUCAUGCACGAAAGCGUGGGGAGCAAACAGGAUUAGAUACCCUGGUAGUCCACGCCCUAAACGAUGUCAACUGGUUGUUGGGGAUUUAUUUUCUCAGUAACGAAGCUAACGCGUGAAGUUGACCGCCUGGGGAGUACGGCCGCAAGGUUAAAACUCAAAUGAAUUGACGGGG
rnacentral:rRNA from 1 species